rnacentral:rRNA from 1 species
UCCUACGGGAGGCAGCAGUGAGGAAUUUUGCGCAAUGGGGGAAACCCUGACGCAGCAACGCCGCGUGAGUGAAGAAGGCCCUUGGGUCGUAAAGCUCUGUCGACAGGGAAGAAAUUACUUCGUAUUAAUAGUAUGUUGUAUUGACGGUACCAGUAGAGGAAGCACCGGCUAACUCCGUGCCAGCAGCCGCGGUAAUACGGGGGGUGCAAGCGUUAUUCGGAAUUAUUGGGCGUAAAGGGCGCGUAGGCGGUUUUGUCGGUCAGAUGUGAAAGCCCGGGGCUCAACCCUGGAAGUGCAUUUGAAACAGCAAGACUUGAAUACUGGAGGGGAGAGCGGAAUUCCUGGUGUAGAGGUGAAAUUCGUAGAUAUCAGGAGGAACACCGAUGGCGAAGGCAGCUCUCUGGACAGAUAUUGACGCUGAGGCGCGAAGGUGUGGGUAGCAAACGGGAUUAGAUACCCCGGUAGUCCACACAGUAAACGAUGUUCACUCGGUGUAGCGGAUAUUAAAAUCUGCUGCGCCCCAGCUAACGCGGUAAGUGAACCGC